UAUGGCAGUACUUUUCUUUAGGGAUGUAAAAUUUGACUUUCAAGUCAAAAUGUUUAUGUUCCAUUCUAUGCUUGUAAAAUAAAAUUACGGCUUUUAAAGUGUACUUUGUUCUUUAGUUAUAAUCUGUACAUUAAUUAAAUAGUUGAAAUGUUCUUCUAUGCCCAGAAAAUGCAUAUCUCUGCAUAAAGUUUGUUGCUUCUUCUAUGAUAUUUAAUGUCAAUCUUGAAUAAAGUUUGACUUUUGUCUUUUCUUCUAAUUGACAUAAUAAAUUGUCUCUUCAAUAUUACUUUAAACUGAUAUCUGGAGAGUACUAACACUUUUCAUGUAAUGCUAACAAUAAUUAAAGUGAAAAAUGCAAAGGGCAAUAACUCCAAAAGUAUGCAAAGAGUUAUGGUUCUUAAACACAGCACAUUACUCAAAAAGAUCUAUAUCUGUGAAGUUUCAAAUUAAUAUCUCCAGUACUUUUUAAGCUUAAUGAUCAAGACAAAAAUUAAGCAUAGAGAAGUAAAAAAUGGCAAUAAACCCCAAAUCAUGCAAUAAAAAGUUAUGGUUCCUUGGCAUUGUAACUUCUCAUAAAUGAGAUUUAGUUAUAUGUGGAGUUUUAAAAUUAUUGUCUCUAACAUCUUUUGUGCUAUGCUUUCAGAGGCUUUAAAUCUAUUGUAAAAAUUAAUGUGUGAAAAGUAAAUAAGUCAUAAUGUCUGAUAAAUUUCUUACAAUCAGGAUAAGUAAAUACUAGCUAGUAAAUACUGCAUCCUCUAAGAUUUAACAACACAGCAUACAUCUCAGAUCUGAUAAAACUACUGCCCUCUUAUCUAGUAAUCCAUGAAUGGGGGUUAAUAGUUUACUCAUGCUGACCAGAAUGUUCCAUUUGAUUAUUUUGGGAGAGGCAACAUUAUACAUGUUUUUAUGUAGAAUUUGUCUUAAAACAGCAUGCUAAAUUAUCUUUCAAAAGCUUAUUUCUACUCAAUCUAUUUAGGUAUUAGAUAUAGUUAUACAUUCAAAUGAAUGUAAAAAAUAAAAUGAUGGGUGCUAUGGUUUUUGGAAAAUCCCUCACAAUUUAAAAUUAUAAUGGACUGUCCAUGCAGUUACACCGUUGUAAAGUUUGAAUUCAAAGGAAUUGAGGUCAGUCAAAGCUUGCAAACACAAAGGAAAUUAUUGAUAUUGUAGCAAUUCUGGAGAUAUUUUGUUUAAAAUGUAAGGGUGCAUAUUUUUGAUUUCUCAAAGAAAACAUUUAAAGUCUUAUUAGUGUGGUAAAUAGAAAUGAGAAGUUUUAACUGAAGUGUGAAUGUGUAGACAAGAAGAUAAACAGCAGAAUCAUUCCCAGUCAAAGUUUCAGGUAAACAACUUUUACAUACAAUAAUUAUUGUUAUUUAUGCAGAAACUGUUUAGUUUUUUGACAGUAAAAAUAUGAAGUGGUAUUGUAUAAAAUUGUGUUUUAUAUUUGUUUUGUUUGUAACUUGACUAAAAAGAAAGCUGCAUGUACAAUGUACAUAUAAAGAAUGUAGGAAUAUAAAGAAUGUAGGAAGAUCUUCAUCAUUUCUUAAAUACAAUAUGUUAGAAAUUUUAAGUUUGAGAAAAAAAAUAUAGAAAUUAAUCAGUAAGUACAAUAUCAUUAUGUACAAUAUUACAUCAAUCAAACUAUAGAUAACCUGAGGUACCUAUUACUACAACUUUCAUGCUAUAAAACAAUUUUCCUUGUGUGUCACAUGUGGAGCAGAUUAACAGUAACUGAUUUAUUAGUAAGUUUCAUUCCUUCAUUGUUGUAAUUCAGCUUUCAUGGUGCAGUAGAUAAUUAUAUAACCAUAACUAGACAGUCUAGAGUAACAUGCUAUUAGGAGAAUGACAGUUCAUAACAGAAACAGCAUUAAAUAAGAAUUAUUAUUUUGCAGACACAAAGCAAUGAGGAGCAGCCUGGAGCAACACAUUUGAUCUUCAGUGGCUUUACAAAGGACCAAGUGAUGGCAGAACUGAUGCCAUAUGCCUCAAAAGUAAGAAAGGUACAGCAAAGCUCUUCAGAAUGCUAUUCAAUAUAGAAGAGAUUAAAGGCCACUCAUUGUUUGGUAUGAGGAAAGGGAACAGAGAGUCUGACGCCAGACCUUCUUGUGCAGACAAGGCAAAACUUAAGUUCUUGGAAGAUUGUGCGCUCGAAAAGUUGCCGACAACCUAAAGGACUGAACUCAAACCGUCCAGGAAUAGCAAGAUAAACUGAAGAAAAUAAAUGGACUAAUGUUUUGCUAUUUUUUGAGACAAUAUAUAAUUUCAUAUGGAAACAUUAAAAAGGAUUAUUUUUUAAAAUUUGUUUGUUUCCAAUUUAGGGUACAGGGUGACUUUCAAGCAGUUUCCAGCUAUUGCCACCCACAAGGUGGAAAAUUUCUGAAAGGGUGAAAAUAGGUGGCAUUUAGUGGAAACUGAAUUUGCCACUAUCUGGUGGCAAAAUGGUGGAAAAGUGUCUAAAUACUCCACCAAUUUUCCACCCUUAUGGUGGCAAAAGGUGGAAAUAAGUGGCAUUUGGUGGAAAAUAAGUUUGCCACUCAAUGGUGGCAUAAUGGUGGAAAUUUGUCUAAAUACUCCACCAAUUUUCCACCAUUAUGGUGGCAAUAAGUGGAAACAAGUGGCAUCUAGUGGAAAAUGAGUUUGCCACCCUAAGGUGGCAUAAUGGUGGCAUUAUGGUGAAAGUUUGUCUAAAUACUCCACCAAUUUUCCACUCAUUGGUGGCAUUUAGUGUAAAAAAGGUGGAAUUAACUGGAAAAUUAUAUAACAUCAGUCCUGCUCAAAUUUUUCACCAUUUUCAUGAUUUGGGUGGCGUUUUGGUGGCGUUUUGGUGGCAUUAUUGGUGGAAAAUUGUCUAAAUACUCCACCAUUGAAAAGGGUG